rnacentral:rRNA from 1 species
UAACGGCGAGUGAAGCGGCAGCAGCCCAGAUUUGAAAUCGGGCGCCCCGUCGCGGGCGCCCGAGUUGUAGUCUGCAGAGGAUGCCCUGGGCGCGGCGGCCUUCCGAGUUCCCUGGAACGGGACGCCGCAGAGGGUGAGAGCCCCGUCCGGUCGGACGCCAGGCCCGUGUAGGGCUCCUUCGACGAGUCGAGUAGUUUGGGAAUGCUGCUCAAAACGGGAGGUAAAUGUCUUCCAAGGCUAAAUACCGGCCAGAGACCGAUAGCGCACAAGUAGAGUGAUCGAAAGAUGAAAAGCACUUUGGAAAGAGGGUUAAAGAGCACGUGAAAUUGCUGAAAGGGAAGCGCCCGCGACCAGACUUGGGCCCGGCAGGUCACCCGUCGUUCUCGGCGGGGCACCCUGCCGGGCGCAGGCCAGCAUCGGCUCGGCGCGGGGGACAAAGGCGGCGGGAACGUGGCUCCCUCCGGGGAGAGCUUACAGCCCGCCGCGCCAUGCCCUGCGCCGGGCCGAGGCACGCGCACCGCAAGGAUGCUGGCGUAAUGGUCGCCGGCGACCCGUCUUGAAACACGGACCAAGGAGUCGUCCUCGUAUGCGAGUGUUGGGGUGCCAAACCCCUGCGCGCAGUGAAAGCGAACGCAGGUGAGAGCCGGCAGCGGCGCAUCAUCGACCGAUCCUGAUGUUCUCGGAUGGAUUUGAGUAGGAGCAUACGGGGCCGGACCCGAAAGAAGGUGAACUAUGCCUGCGUAGGGUGAAGCCAUGGGAAACCAUGGUGGAGGCUCGCAGCGGUUCUGACGUGCGAAUCGAUCGUCAAACGUGGGCAUGGGGGCGAAAGACUAAU